AGGGGAGCACAUCCCCAACAGCCCCUUCCAGGUCAUGGCCACGGACCGGCCGCUGCUGGGGGUCAACGGGCUGGACAUGGCCGGGCUGCGGCCCUUCGACCUCGUCAUCCCCUUCACCAUCAAGAAGGGCGAGAUCACAGGUGAGGUGCGGAUGCCCUCGGGCAAGGUGGCCACCCCGGA